AUCCCUGACAUAUUAUAUACUCAAUGUGUUUAUCCCUGACAUAUUAUAUACUCAAUGUGUUUAUCCCUGACAUAUUAUAUACUCAAUGUGUUGAUCCCUGACAUAUUAUAUACUCAAUGUGUUGAUCACUGACAUAUUAUAUACUCAAUGUGUUUAUCCCUGACAUAUUCUAUACUCAAUGUGUUGAUCCCUGACAUAUUAUAUACUCAAUGUGUUGAUCCCUGACAUAUUAUAUACUCAAUGUGUUUAUCCCUGACAUAUUAUAUACUCAAUGUGUUGAUCCCUGACAUAUUAUAUACUCAAUGUGUUGAUCCCUGACAUAUUAUAUACUCAAUGUGUUUAUCCCUGACAUAUUAUAUACUCAAUGUGUUUAUCCCUGACAUAUUAUAUACUCAAUGUGUUGAUCCCUGACAUAUUAUAUACUCAAUGUGUUGAUCACUGACAUAUUAUAUACUCAAUGUGUUUAUCCCUGACAUAUUCUAUACUCAAUGUGUUGAUCCCUGACAUAUUAUAUACUCAAUGUGUUGAUCCCUGACAUAUUCUAUACUGAAGGUACCACGUUCAAAUAAAUUGGUAUUAUUUUGUUGGGUAACUGAUCGGCACUCAGAACUCAUUAAGAGGUGGCUUCUAUCUUCAAUAUAAUCAUUCAUUCAGAAGGUUAAACACAAAAUGGUGCAGUUUGAGGCCAUGUGGUGGAGAGUGAUGUGGGCGCUGGAGAUGAUGGGGUGUGAGCAGAUGGGUCUGGGCAGAUGUUAUGUAGUUGUUGUUUGUAUGUGUAUGUUUGGUAUUGUUUAUAAAGAUGAAAUAAAAUUGUAAAAAAAAUGUAAAUAAGGAAAAAUGACAAGCUUGCAACACGCAUCUGAUUUUAGGAUUUAUUUGAUUUAUUUUGUUUAGAAUUUUCCUUGUAACCACAAUGUCACGAAUAAUUGAACAAACACAACACUUGGUCAAAACAUUUCUUUAUUGAAGACGAUUAUAAAUAAUGUUGGUACUAAUUUAUUUUGAUCCAAAGCCACAAAUGAGUGAGUCACUCAGCUUUAUGCCAACAAAUAUAGCUUUAUGCUGUGAAAUAACCUACUAAAUAGGCCAAGCCUAAACAAAUAUAUUAAGUUGCCUAAAUAAACUAGUGCAUUACAUAAAUA
ensembl:lncRNA